UGUGGGAGCGAGCCUGCUCGCGAUAGCGGUCUGUCAGUUGACAUCGAUGCCGGCUGAUCUGGCGCUAUCGCGAGCAGGCUCGCUCCCACA
rnacentral:misc_RNA from 1 species